rnacentral:sRNA from 1 species
UCAACGUGUGUGCAAAACACGGCACUUG